rnacentral:tRNA from 1 species
GGUCCUAUCGUCCAGAGGUCGAGGACACCGCCCUUUCAAGGCGGCGACGCGAGUUCGAAUCUCGCUAGGACCG